UUAAAAAAAAACCCUAGGAACGAACAAACAACGAAAUGAACUAAACACCUUUGGUCCCUAUUUCUGACGAACUCAAAUUCCGAUUGGUUGGGAUGACAAAAAAGAGUUUGAGGGCCCUGAAAUCGAAGCUGAAGCAUAUCCUCCAAGAAACUACAGACAGUGAUCUCCUCGCAAGAGAUGAUGCUGUGGUUAGAAGAAGUUCGAAUUUCUUAAGAAACUACUAUAUGCGGACAAAGCAUCGGAGGCCUUUCGUCAACCGUUUUUACCCAAACAAGACAAUAGUUGAAGUGAAUCGCAUGCUUAAGCUUCCUCUUAAGGUCCUAAGGGAAGCCCGUUUUCCUCCUGGUCUCAAAGUAUUACUAUAAAUGUCACCUAUUAAAAUGGAUAUAUGAAUUACUAUUUAUUUUGUAUUUGAGUCUAUCUCAGUAUUUUCAAUAUUUUGCAUAAUGUCAAUGCAAUAGCAUCAUCUACAAUAUUUCAACAUUGAUCUGAUGCUGUGAAGCAGUCUCAAUAGUUUGUUAGUUAGUGAUAACUAACUAUAGUUUGUUAGAAGAUUGAAAGUUAGUUAAGGGUAGUUACUAGAGUUAGUUACUUGUAUGAGAAUAAAUGUACCCUCUUGUGUAAUUGUUUUGUGUGGCCCAUAUAAGUGGAUGAAUAAACUUUCUUUCUUCUUCCUAA